CUGCCGCUACUGCCCCUGCCAAGGAGGCGGCUGCUGCUCCUGCCCCUGCCAAGGAGGCGGCUGCUGCUCCUGCCAAGGAGGUGGCUGCUGUUCCCGCCCUUGUCAAGGAGGUGGUUGCUGUUCCUGCCCUUGACCCUAACCCUGCUACAGUUUCAAGUGAAACUCCUGCGCAGGCAUCCGUCCCAGAGGGGACCCCUGUUACAACCUCAGUUAACACAGCUACAAAAGCUGCAGCCCCGGUACCUACCCCUGCACCAUGCACAGUUCCCAACCCAAUAUCCACUAGCACCCCAUCUCCUGCAUCACCUACCAUACCCGCCCCUGCUUCUGCUCAAUCCCAAGCUCGAUCUGGACAUGCAGGGCAGCCUACAAAGGGCAAACAUGCUAAGAAGCAGAAGCAAAAGGGGAAGUAGGCUGUUGAGAAGCCUGCAGUGACAGUGGAGAAGGAAGUUAAGUCUGAAGCCAAGAUUGAAGAAGUUACAGUUGACGAAAAGCCUGAAGUGAAACCAGAGAAGCCGAAGGAGGAAACUGAAGUUAAAUCCACAAAGAUAGAGGAA